rnacentral:pre_miRNA from 1 species
GAAGGAGAAUUCCAAAGGGAUCGCAUUGAUCUCUCUCGUGCUCCCUUCUUUUCUUCCGGAUUCGAGAGAUCAUGCCAUUCCUUUGGAAUUUUCCAU